rnacentral:tRNA from 1 species
GGUGAUUUAGCUCAGUGGUAGAGCGCUUGCCCAGCAAGUGCAAGGCCCUGGGUUCGAUCCCCAGCUCUG